rnacentral:rRNA from 1 species
UACGAAGGGAGCUAGCGUUGUUCGGAAUCACUGGGCGUAAAGCGCACGUAGGCGGAUGUGUCAGUCAGGGGUGAAAUCCCGGAGCUCAACUUCGGAACUGCCUUUGAUACAGCACAUCUGGAGUCCGGAAGAGGUGGGUGGAAUUCCCAGUGUAGAGGUGAAAUUCGUAGAUAUUAGGAAGAACACCGGUGGCGAAGGCGGCCCACUGGUCCGGUACUGACGCUGAGGUGCGAAAGCGUGGGGAGCAAACAGG